AAGAAGAAGGGGCCACCGAGACCCCAAAAGAGUCACGGAGACAGACGGACAAAACGACCGACACAACCAGGGACAGGCUGGAGUGCAAUGGCAUGAUCUCAGCUCACUGCAACCUCUGCCUCCCAGGUUCAAGCGAUUCUCCUGCCUCAGCCUCCAAGUAGCUGGGAUUACAGACAUCCUUCCAGUUGGAUUUCAACUGGGUUCUGCCGAUGGGAUGUAUCCAUGUGAGAUUCUGGAACUAACAUCAGAGAGAGUCCAAGCUUCUAACUUUUAUCAGUGGCAGUGACAACAGUCAAGCAGCAUUGAUGACAAAUGGCAAGAGUUUACAAAGUACCAGUGACGUGCCUGAUAGAAUCUCCCCACAAGAUGGAAGCCAACUCAUCAGAAGCCUGGAAAGCCCGCCCAGCGUGGGACCUCUGUGGGUCCAGGAUCUUGGAAUGGCAUCCCAUGGUUUAAUCUUCCAGAUUCAACCAAAUAAAUUUACCCCACCAUGUCAUGGACCCAAGCUUCCUACCAUGUAUCCUUAGCUUAAAUGCAAGAUAGUGCUAUCUUGUUCAUCUUGAUUGGAGUGAGAAAUGAAUAGGUCCAUGCACAUAUAUUUCUUUUACCACAACAAGAUGAAGAAGAAAUAAAUCCAUAAUAUUGAUACUUUUGUAUAAGUUGUGUUUACAGUUGCAGUAAGAAAUUUUAUAAUCGUUGAUUUGCUUUAUAUAAUUUCUGCUUGCUUUUUAUGAUAUUUAAAACAAAAUCUAAGCAACAAAUUUUAUGUCUGAUUAGAUUUACAGAAGCUGCUUAAGUGCUUAGGGAUAAUUUGUUCAUCAUACUUGUAAGUCUCCCUUGUUAGGUGUUUGAAGUGUUUGAAUUGGCUAAAUUAAAUUUGUAAUUGUAGUUUCAAAUAUCUAAAGGGAUUUUCUUAAUUAAAUGUUUAAAUGAUGUUAAAAGUUCGUGGGAAUUUAAUCUAUCAAAUUUAUGAGUUAAUUGAAUAUGAAUCAAUAAACAAGUAAAUGUGAUCUUGCUUUUAUAUAAAAACUACCAAGUUCAUAAAUAAAAUACAAAGAUCCAUAAGUUGAGAGGAAAAGCAAAAGAGCUAGAUUCUAAGAUCUAUAACUUAAAAAAAUUAACUAUUGAUUGAAAUGUAAGUCAUUGUAAUUAUCCCCACUAGCUGAAAUCUCACAUCUGAGUGCUUACACACAAAACAAAAUGUUACCCUGAACAUACUAAACAAAUAAAAAA
rnacentral:lncRNA from 1 species